GCGGGAAUUGCCAAGUUUGGUAAAGGCGCUGGACUCAGAAUCCAGUCUCGUAGGAGUUCGGGAGUUCAAAUCUCCCUUCCCGCA
rnacentral:tRNA from 1 species